rnacentral:rRNA from 1 species
AACGAACGCUGGCGGCGUGUUUAAGACAUGCAAGUCGCACGGGAUAAGACAUGUAGUAAUACUUGUUUUAUUUAGUGGCGCACGGGUGAGUAACACGUGAAUUACAUGCCCUAUAGUGGGGAAUAGGCCAGGGAAACUUGGAUUAAUACCCCAUGGUAUCGAAAGAUUAAAGGUGGCCGCAAGGCUGUCGCUAUAGGAUUGGUUCGCGCCCUAUCAGCUUGUUGGUGAUGUAACGGCUCACCAAGGCAAUGACGGGUACCUGGUCUGAGAGGACGAUCAGGCACACUGGAACUGAGACACGGUCCAGACACCUACGGGUGGCAGCAGUCGAGAAUAAUUCACAAUGGGGGCAACCCUGAUGGUGCAACGCCGCGUGGAGGAUGACGGUCUUCGGAUUGUAAACUCCUGUCAUCUGGGAGAAAGACCUGACGGUAAAUAGCCGGCAGGGUUGAUAGUACCAGAAGAGGAAGGGACGGCUAACUUCGUGCCAGCAGCCGCCGUAA